rnacentral:rRNA from 1 species
UGGGGAAUAUUGCGCAAUGGGGGGAACCCUGACGCAGCCAUGCCGCGUGAAUGAAGAAGGCCUUCGGGUUGUAAAGUUCUUUCGGUAUUGAGGAAGGUUGAUGUGAUAAUAGCACAUCAAAUUGACGUUAAAUACAGAAGAAGCACCGGCUAACUCCGUGCCAGCAGCCGCGGUAAUACGGAGGGUGCGAGCGUUAAUCGGAAUAACUGGGCGUAAAGGGCACGCAGGCGGUUAUUUAAGUGAGGUGUGAAAGCCCUGGGCUUAACCUAGGAAUUGCAUUUCAGACUGGGUAACUAGAGUACUUUAGGGAGGGGUAGAAUUCCACGUGUAGCGGUGAAAUGCGUAGAGAUGUGGAGGAAUACCGAAGGCGAAGGCAGCCCCUUGGGAAUGUACUGACGCUCAUGUGCGAAAGCGUGGGGAGCAAACAGGAUUAGAUACCCUGGUAGUCCACGCUGUAAACGCUGUCGAUUUGGGGGUUGGGGUUUAACUCUGGCGCCCGUAGCUAACGUGAUAAAUCGACCGCCUGGGGAGUACGGCCGCAAGGUUA